UAGUCAAAUGGAUGACCGAGAACUAUGUGCGCUCCCUAUAAACCGAGACGGGGAGCGCACGUAGUUCUCGGUCAUCCAUUUGACUA
rnacentral:pre_miRNA from 1 species